rnacentral:rRNA from 1 species
GUGGGGAAUUUUGGACAAUGGGGGCAACCCUGAUCCAGCCAUGCCGCGUGCGGGAAGAAGGCCUUCGGGUUGUAAACCGCUUUUGUCAGGGAAGAAAUCCUUUGGGCUAAUACCUCGAAGGGAUGACGGUACCUGAAGAAUAAGCACCGGCUAACUACGUGCCAGCAGCCGCGGUAAUACGUAGGGUGCAAGCGUUAAUCGGAAUUACUGGGCGUAAAGCGUGCGCAGGCGGUUGUGCAAGCCAGAUGUGAAAUCCCCGGGCUUAACCUGGGAACUGCAUUUGUGACUGCACAGCUCGAGUACGGCAGAGGGGGAUGGAAUUCCGCGUGUAGCAGUGAAAUGCGUAGAUAUGCGGAGGAACACCGAUGGCGAAGGCAAUCCCCUGGGCCUGUACUGACGCUCAUGCACGAAAGCGUGGGGAGCAAACAGGAUUAGAAACCCCAGUAGUCC